rnacentral:rRNA from 1 species
GACGAACGCUGGCGGCGUGCUUAACACAUGCAAGUCGAACGGAAAGGCCCUGCUUUUGUGGGGUGCUCGAGUGGCGAACGGGUGAGUAACACGUGAGUAACCGGCCCUUGACUUUGGGAGAACUUAAGGAAACUGGGGCUAAUAUCAGAUAGGAUCUCCUCCUGCAGGGUGGGGGUUGGAAAGUUUCGGCGGUUGGGGAUGGACGGGCGGCUUAUGAGCUUGUUGGUGGGGUAGUGGCUUACCAAGGCUGUGACGGGUAGCCGGCCUGGGAGGGUGACCGGCCACAUUGCGCCUGAGAGACGGACCAGACUCCUACGGGAGGCAACGGUGGGGAAUAUUGCCCAAUGGGCGGGAGCCUGUGGCAGAAACGCCGCGUGUGGGAUGCCGGCCUUCGGGUUAUAAAACGCUUUCGCCUGUGACGCAGCGUGAGUGACGGUAAUGGGUAAAGAAGCACCGGCUAACUACGUG